GCCGUACACAAACAGCUAGGAUGGGUUGAUUUUAUUUCCCAUAUUCUUUCGUAGCUUUGCUUCUUAUCUUAGCUUGGCCUAGCGUUUGAGUCGGGAGGAUGGAAAUGUUUUUUGUUAAUCCAUAGCCAUAACAUGGCGUGAGACCGUGAGCGUUUUCGGAUACUACUGAGACAGGGCAAGACCGCCAAGCAGUUGUAGCGCCGGAUAAGUAUGUAAGUAUUGAACACAGUAUUUUACAGAGUAUUACAUUUAUAUUUUCAACAAUAUUUCAAGGCCAAGAAGUAUCGAUUAUUGCAAGCUCAGGUUCACGUAACCCAACUGGUUGCAUGAACACAGUUGUUUGUUGAAAUGCUUUGAAGUAUAACAGAAAAACCAAAAUCGAUUACGAGUUGCUUUGCCAGUGGCAGAAUCGCGCACCAUCAGCAGAUUUACGAAUCGAGCAGAUAUCACGUCAUACAAUUAGACGCCAAAGUUGCGGUCACCCGGCCAGAUUGUGUCGCCAGUCAUAUGGCAGCACGGAGCACGGAUGUGGGGAGGAGAAAUUGGCCUCACCCCAUCAGGGGAGGGUCACUCGCACAGUUCAAGCUGUGCGCGGUCGUACCAGGUCGGCAGAGCGGUCGACGGGAGCGGCAAAAACCAGCAUCACCAGAAAAAAGGCAAAGAAAUGGUUUCGUUCUGCGAUUUGCCAGCGACGCGCAACGCAACACUGGCGCACUGUGAACCCGCGAACCGUUUCGCAACCCCGAGUUUGUGCCUUUUGCGUGGUCCCGCUCACCCGCCGAAAUGACACCCGCCGGUAAAGCAAAACCCACUUGCCGUUCGGGCGCACCCUUUCCUCAGCACAAUCCCUUGGGUCCCCACGAUCAGGUCAACCGUACUUCCUAGUAGGACCGUAGCAAAAGGGAAAAGAUCCGAAAAGCCGAAAGUCGCGGCACCCGGGUUGGACGCGAUGCGAGAAGAAGCAGAAUAAGUGGAAUGUUGUUGCCCUGCUACGGAGGUGUUUGUGUAGGUCGAAAGGUUGAAGAUCGCUCAGGUCUCUGGUACGGGAGAACGAGCUCAACAAACUGUGAGACGGCUAGAGCUAACAUGCCUUGCGGUUAUACUACGCCGACAACGACGACGACAACGACGGAAAAGAUGAUGAUGAUGAUGAUGAUGAUGAUGACGGUGCCGACGUUAAAGGCGUAGAACGAAAGCACCGAUCCCUAAACUUGUUGAUUUUUUGCUCCAUGUUCCAAUUGUGACCUAUCCGAUCGGUCAAAACAUUGGUAAAAAAUAGAAGCUGCUUGAUGAUCUCCGUUGGCAAAGGGCUUUCCGAGUAGAAAUAUCUUUUCAGCUUUUAAGACAUGAAGAGUUAAUUAGCUAUUAAAUUAUAAAAAACAAUAUCAGGAGCAUUUGUAUCAAGAGUAUUUGAGCUGAAAAUAAAAAUGUAAAUGUUUAAACGGAA